AGAAAGAGGUGGGGCCCACCUCCAAUGCACCAAUCACAUUUUUUUUAUUUAAUUAUUAGUUAAACCACAACGUGAUAGUUAAAGAGUUGGUCAGUUAAAGCCAUUGUCUACGCGGCAGUGACGUGGCGGACGUUAUGUUAAACCACAACACAACAGGAAUCAAGAAUCAAGUAAACUAGCUUUACUAAAUCAUCAUAUUGACACAAAAACUCAUGGAUGUCAUUUAAAUGAUAAAACUAAAAAAACUACCAAAAAAGCUUAACGUCACACCGAUUUUUUUUAACAUUUUUUGGCUGUAAAUCUACAUUUUUAAAAUACAAAAAAGAAAAAAUUAGUAUUGUACAUGUAUAACA
rnacentral:lncRNA from 1 species